CCUACGGGAGGCUGCAGUGGGGAAUAUUGGACAAUGGGGGAAACCCUGAUCCAGCAAUGCCGCGUGUGUGAAGAAGGCCUUCGGGUUGUAAAGCACUUUCGGUUGGGAAGAAAAGUUUGGCGCCAAUACCGCCGAACCUUGACGUUACUGACAGAAGAAGCACCGGCUCACUCUGUGCCAGCAGCCGCGGUAAUACAGAGGGUGCAAGCGUUAAUCGGGCUUGCGGGGCGUAACAUGCGCGUCGGUGGUCAAAUCCCCGGGCUUAACCUGGGAACUGCAUUCGAUACUACAUGGCUAGAGUAUGGUAGAGGGAAGUGGAAUUUCCGGUGUAGCGGUGAAAUGCGUAGAUAUCGGAAGGAACACCAAUGGCGAAGGCAGCUUCCUGGACUAAUACUGACACUGAGGCACGAAAGCGUGGGUAGCAAACAGGAUUAGAUACCCUGGUAGUC
rnacentral:rRNA from 1 species